AGGCACUCGCCUCAGGGGCAAAACUCACAGGGCAUCUCAAAGCCCAAAAAUCAAGAGAAAUCUUUUUUUCUGUCCACACUCAGAGGCAUGCGGGAUAUUAGUCCUCCAGUCAGGAAACGAACCUGCAUUGAAAGUGCAGAGUCUUAACCAAUGGACCACCAGCGAAAUCCCAAGAGAAAUCAUAUUUUAAUGCAUUUCUUCUUCUUUUUUUUUUUUUUUUUCCGGCCAUGCCCCUCGAUUUGUGGGAUCUUGUUGUCUGACCAGGGACUGAACCCUUGUCCUCAGCAGAGAAAGCACAAAGUCCCCUGGACCACCAGGAAAGUACCCCCUGCAAUAUUUUUUUUUUUGUUAGAUAGAAGUUAAUGCCCACAAAAUCCGUGAUGGAAAAAAAUCAACAUUUUUAAUGAAGUCAGGAUCCAUUUUCCCCGCCCUUCUGUCCUGUUUAGAGCCCUCCAGCCACAGCUGACGCUGGGAAACAUUCCUGAAUGAAUUAAGAACAGCCGGGGAGAAAGCGGAGUCGGGUGGAGGCGAAAGACCAGCGGCAGGUGGACAGAGGGAGGAAGGACAGAGAGGAGGGGUUGCCCCCAGAGGGGCCAGGCCGGGAGUCCGGAGGAGCCCCCUGCCGGGAAUGCAGCUGGGGAAAGAGGCUAGGUGGAGUCCUGAGAAUCGGGCAGGGAUGAGAGGCAGGGAAUUUGUUACUCGAAAACUGGGCUGGACUCGGUGGACGUUGAGCCAAGAGACACAGUCAAGCCAAACAGCAGGAGAAGGAAGCAUUUAUUACUUGCAGGAAAUACUAAACCCCCCUCCAGGUGGGAGAAGUCCAUGAUGAAAGAAGUCAUGUGUUGCCCACAAGUAUGGAGCCCCCCAACCAGUUGGACCCAAAGGUUGGCAAUGCUGACUCCUACUUCCCUCACCACCACCCCAUCAGAAGAAUGUCCACAAGCUGAUCAUGCCCCUUUGGGGCAAUUAAUAUAAAGCUUCUCAGUGUGUCCAAGUUGGGAUACAUGGGGACACAUGAGUCCAUUGUGUCCCCCUUCGCCUGGCAAAGCAAUAAAGCUAUCCUUUUUUAUAUCACCCAAAA